CAAACGUUGUUGCUGUUUUCUGAGCUCCACGUCUGCGACUUUAAUGACACAUCUCGGCAGCGAUUGCUGCAAAUGAUGGACGGGAAUACACACGUAUGGAUGUGUACGUGUACACGUUAUACGUGUAAACGUUAAUAUUUAGAAGAAAGUUCAUUGAGGGAAAGAAGAAUUUGACCGUUUAGAUCAUCAGAAGAAGUCACACAAGAAAAACACAAACAUGGAUAAGAGAAAAAAUCUGCGAUUAAUAGGGGACAACGGAAAUUUCAGCGACGCUGCAGCCAUUCCCAUUGCCUAAAGGACGAAAACGAUGUGUGUACGUUGUGGAACAGCCAUUACACAUGUAAAUCGGGAAUCGGAGUUCCCGACAAGAAAAUAACCCCAAGGAAAACAAGCCGAGC